GCCCGCCUUCGGCCGCCUCUGCGCGCUCGUCGCGGCGCCCUGCUGUGCGCGCCUCGCGCCGCCCACCGCCGCCUACCUGACUGGCGUCUCGGGACUGCUCACCGCCGCAGGACUCUACGUGCUGCUGGGAGCUGCUACACAUGAUGCAUUGCUGCUAGGGGCAGCAAUUGUUGGACUGGGUGAAGGAGGUCACUUAGCAUGUGGAGCAAGCUUUCUGGAUGAUGCAGACACUUCACUCUUGCAGCCUGCUGUGGAUCUUCUUGUGGGAACCUUCUCAUUGUUGCUUAUCCCACUUCUAGGUCAUUUGUCUUCUCUUUCAUCAGGAAUAUCCCUCUGUCUCGUUGUGGUUACUCUCAUACAAGUUGCUUCUAGUCUAGUGUGGCUGCUAAGGCCACUGGUACAAUCAAUAACAUCACAUUUCCAACAAGAGCAUCCUGGGACCACAGAAUGGCGACAGUGUGCAGAUUUGCUCACCCUGAGUUAGCAAUGUUAUGUGAAUAGACAAGUGAAUGUUAUCAGAUGGAGAAAAUAGUGCUGUGCAUGAGUGUUAGUUAUUAACUAAGAACAACAGAGUGAAGGACAAGGAUUGUAAAUGACAGAAGAAGCUGAAUGACUUUUGUGAUGUGUACUUUGACAUUUAUGUUGUCUCUUGGUGAAUAGACUAAUUUUCUACUGGUUUACAGCCAACAGACACGCAACAGUGCUUCACAGUCUUUCACCACAAUUAUUUUACAGCAUUUAGUUUCAAAUUUUAAUAGGUAUGGCAUACCAUCUGUAAUGUGGCAUUAUAUUACAGUAGCAAAAAUGCCAUGAAAAAUACUGAACUCUUAGAGAACUUCUAUGGCAAGUAUUUCAUUACACCUUUGAUACACAAUAUGAAAUUCAGUACAUAAUUCAUCAUAGUUUAUCAUUUAUGAACAGAUAGUCUUCAUUUCAGUAACAAUCCUCCAAGACUUUUGGGUUCUGGCAGCUCUAAUAGAUGAGGAGCAAUACAUCUAAGAAACAUUUAAAAAAAUAAACAUUAAAAUGUUGUUUGACAUAUGUGUGCAGUGGCUUUCAGAGGAUUGUGGCAAAAAUCUUUUCAGUCUUUUCUACAUUAUAAAAAAUUACUUAAAAAUCUUCAAAUUUAAUUUUAAAUAUUCAAAAGCAGAAUGACAAAUAUGAGCAACAGACAUAUGAUAAAUAAUAUCCAAAGCAAAUUGCUUAUGUGUGGUACUGUAGCCAUUCACAGAUUAGCCUUCACAUAGAAAUGCUCAUUGAAAUGCAUAUAUAGUUUUUCAUUUUUCAUUCAUCCAUUCCAUUUCAGUGUCAUAAAUGUAAUAUUAAUAUGUGCUGCCACACAUUAUCAUUAAUUUGAGAGAGAUGUGUAAUCUACUGAUCUGCACUAAAAAUAAUGAAUUAUGAUGAUGUCAAAAAAUUGCUCAAGUUAAUUGUGAUGAAGAAUCAAAAUUGUGAA